rnacentral:tRNA from 1 species
AAGGAUUUAGGAUAACAUAAGACCAAGAACCUUCAAAGCUCUAAGCAGAAGUGAAAAUCUUCUAAUCCUUG